ACAUGAGCAAGCGGCCGCGGGGCUGGAGCUGAGAUAGGCAGGUGCGUAUAUAAUAGACACUCGGACAUCUUUUCCUAGCCUGAGACCACACUGCUAAAAGGAGUCCGAGUUUACAAAUACUCUGGAGAGGCCACGGGGACAGGCUGAAGCGGAUUUUCAAUAGUGGAGCUAUGGGCACGUCUUUACUCCAUGGGUAGGACCCAACUAACCUGUCAUCGGGGAUGGACUGGAGUCUGUCCUCAGAAGACCGACCUUCGCCCGGGGGUGAAGGCGGGCUGCAAAGGGCUGGCAUUCGCGGCCCCGGGCACUGCACGGGCCUAGGUUACCGGCAGGCGGUGUAGUGAGCGCGCCUGCAGCUGCCAUCGCUCGCCCGUCCCAGCGAAGAGGAGAAAGGAGGGGACCCGAAGGAGCCGCUGGUGCUGCGGGAAGCGGCGGGAUCGGGAGGCGGGGACCCACCUGGAAGCGCCGCAGCGCCGCUGUCGAGCUUCCUGCGGCGGCGGCCACCCGAGCAAGUGCCGUGGCGGGGGCAGAGAUGGGCCACGGCCGCGGCGCCUCUUCGACUGGCCUGCAGCGCCCAAGCCCGCGCGGAAGUAGAGUGAAGGCUGGAGAAGAGACCAAGCUGAGCUCCUUGAACAAAUCAAAUCCUGGAAAAAUCAGAAAGAAAUUGGAAUGAGCUGUGACUUACAAAUAUUUUAAUAUGGAUAUAAUCUUAUUGUCAUGAAUAAAGUUUGAAAUCUGUUUAAUUAAAAUUGAGAGGCUAUAUCUGAUACAGUCUUGUUCCUUUCCUUGGCUUUGACAUACUAAAUUUCACAAUUGAAUUUUUAUCUGAAUUGGAAAAUGAGUAGUUUUACAGGCAUAAGUGAAAUAGGAUAUUGAUUAAUUGGCAGGAAGAUUAAUCUCAGGGAGGCCUGAUCCCAUUUGCCUGACAUUAAGUACAUAAUUGCUUCUUUGGACUUGCUGCAUCUACUUUAUAUACUGGUGUAGUGGAGUCCCAUCCCUGGAUUUGGGAAUGCAUAUGUGUCUGUCCAGACAAGGUGUCCUUUGGGGAAUGGUAGAGCACUGGGCCCAAUAUAAAAUAUUGAAUUCUCAUCUCCACUAACUGUACACUUUAAGUGAAUUGUAUGUGAAUUAUAUAUGAAUUAAAGCAUUAAUUAAAAUAGCCACAAAAAGGUACCAAUUCAUAAACACUGGUAUGACUAUAAAUAAACAGGAAGACAAUUAACCAGUGUUGUCAAAGAAGUAGAUAUUGGAAAAAUUACACAUUCCUGAUGAUGAUAUAAAAUGAGGCAACUAUUUGAAUAUCAUCAUGGUAGUUCCUCAAAGAUUAAACCUAACAUUACCAAUUGAUCCAGAAAUUCCACCCCCAGUUAUAUAUCAGAAAAAUGUAAAUUUAUAUCCACUCCAAAACUUCUCUAUGAAUGUUUAUAGUAGCCUAAUUCAUGAUAGCCAAAAAUGGAAACAUUGAAAAUGCCUAGCCAGUGAAUAAACAAAACAUAUUAUCACCAUACAAUGAAAUUUUAUUUGGCAAUUAAAAAACCAAGUACCAAUAUAUGUUACAACAUGGAUAAUCCUUGAAUCGUGAAAGGAUUGACAGAAGUGAGGAUUCAAAGGAGUGAAAGAAGCCAAACAUAAAAAGCCACAGUUUGCAUGAAAUGUCCAAAAUAGGCAAAUCCAGAAAAAAAAAAAAAAAAAAAGUA